rnacentral:rRNA from 1 species
UACGAAGGGGGGCUAGCGUUGCUCGGAAUUACUGGGCGUAAAGGGCGCGUAGGCGGAUAGUUUAGUUGGGGGUGAAAGCCCGGGGCUCAACCUCGGAACUGCCUUCAAUACUGGCUAUCUUGAGUACGGGAGAGGUGUGUGGAACUCCGAGUGUAGAGGUGAAAUUCGUAGAUAUUCGGAAGAACACCAGUGGCGAAGGCGACACACUGGCCCGUUACUGACGCUGAGGCGCGAAAGCGUGGGGAGCAAACAGG